rnacentral:misc_RNA from 1 species
UGAUAGCUAUGGGUCAUUUGUUGAGAGAAGUUUUGAGGACACUCUGCGGUGUCAAUCAGUGGUGCUAUGCUGUGUUCUGGAAGAUCGGCUGCCAGAAUCCUAAGUUGUUAAUUUGGGAAGAAUGUUACUAUGAAUCUAAGUCAUGUUCUGUUCUUCCAUGUACUUCUGGAAUUGGGAACCCUGAGUUGCCUUUAGGAGACUCUGAAGGAUACUGGGC